UUACCAAGUCUUGACAUCGAUCUGCCGGGACUGUAUUGAGUCCUUCCCCUUCGGGGACAGAGAAGACAGGUGGUGCAUGGUUGUCGUCAGCUCGUGUCGUAAGAUGUUGGGUUAAGUCCCGCACGAGCGCAACCCUUAUCUUAGUAGCCAGCAUUUCGGAUGGGCACUCUGAGAGACUGCCAGGGACAACCUGGAGGAAGGUGGGGAUGACGUCAAAUCAUCAUGCCCCUUAUGAUUUGGGCUACACACGUGCUACAAUGGCGUAAACAAAGGGAAGCGAAGGCGUGAGCCGGAGCGAAUCUCAAAAAUAACGUCUCAGUUCGGAUUGUAGUCUGCAACUCGACUACAUGAAGCUGGAAUCGCUAGUAAUCGCAGGUCAGCAUACUGCGGUGAAUACGUUCCCGGGUCUUGUACACACCGCCCGUCACACCAUGGGAGUCAGUAACGCCCGAAGUCAGUGACCCAACCUUAACGGAGGGAGCUGCCGAAGGCGGGACCGAUAACUGGGGUGAAGUCGUAACA
rnacentral:rRNA from 1 species